CGUCACUCAAAACUGUUGCUUGGCAGCGUUACUUGGUGGUGUUGUCAAGCGGAGGCUUACUGUUGCUGCAAUUAAAAUUCCUGCCUUGGAUGUGGACUAUGGGUCCAGUUCAUCACUUUACAAACACUGAGUGAGGAUGAUCCUGUGAGGGAAAACCAUUGAAAGGAGAAUGUGUCGCGUCCAGAGGCCCACUGGUAGUCAACCCCGCCCAGGAGCCAGGAGACCAGCCCAGACCCCCCUCCUCUAGCUGGGACACCUCUCUGACCCCACCUUGGAGCUCACCCCAGCUGCCUUUUAACUUCAUGAAGAACUCUGACGUUGGUGAUGUUAUGAAUAAAUUUGAAGUCCUUGGGAUCGUAGGUGAAGGUGCCUAUGGAGUGGUCCUGAAGUGCAGACACAAGGUAAGAUCUUUGAUAUAAUCACAUCAACUAUCCUUUUCUGAGACUCAUUACCACUUAUAAACA